rnacentral:rRNA from 1 species
GACGAACGCUGGCGGCGUGCUUAGCACAUGGAAGUCGGACGGAGAGGCCCUGCGUUUGUGGGGUGCUCGGUUGGCGAACGGGUGAGUAACACGUGAGUAACCUGCCCUUGACUUUGGGAUAACUUCAGGAAACUGGGGCUAAUACCGGAUAGGAGCUCCUGCUGCAUGGUGGGUGUUGGAAAGUUUCGGCGGUUGGGGAUGGACUCGCGGCUUAUCAGCUUGUUGGUGGGGUAGUGGCUUACCAAGGAUUUGACGGGUAGCCGGCCUGAGAGGGUGACCGGCCACAUUGGGACUGAGAUACGGCCCAGACUCCUACGGGAGGCAGCAGUGGGGAAUAUUGCACAAUGGGCGGAAGCCUGAUGCAGCAACGCCGCGUGCGGGAUCCCGGCCUUCGGGUUGUAACCCGAUUUCGCCUGUGACGAAGCGUGCGUGACGGUCAUGGGUCAAGAAGGACCGGCUAAAUACGUG